rnacentral:rRNA from 1 species
UACGGAGGGUGCGAGCGUUGUUCGGAAUUAUUGGGCGUAAAGCGCGUGUAGGCGGCUUGGUCAGUCAGAUGUGAAAGCCCUGGGCUCAACUCAGGAAGUGCAUUUGAAACUGCCUCGCUUGAGUAUGGGAGAGGAGAGUGGAAUUCCCAGUGUAGAGGUGAAAUUCGUAGAUAUUGGGAGGAACACCCGUGGCGAAGGCGACUCUCUGGACCAAUACUGACGCUGAGACGCGAAAGCGUGGGGAGCAAACAGG